rnacentral:lncRNA from 1 species
UCCGAUAAAGCCUAUUAAAUAGAACAUGUAUUAAUCCCUUUGUCACACGAUAUCUAGUUUGAACAUAAGUCAUGGUCAAUGUCAAACUUAUAAUGUUCAAACUUAUGAUUUCUCGAUCUCUAAGUAGACUGAUAAAUUCAAAUGAUAUUGAUUACACUAUCAAUUCAUUUGAGCACGGCCAUGCAUUUCUCAGUCUCACUUAUCGAGGGGCC